CCUACGGGUGGCAGCAGUGAGGAAUAUUGGUCAAUGGGCUUACGCCUGAACCAGCCAAGUCGCGUGAGGGAAGACUGCCCUAUGGGUUGUAAACCUCUUUUGUCAGGGAGCAAUUGGCGCUACGUGUAGCGUUAUCGCGAGUUCCCGACGUAAAAGCAUCGGCUAACUUCGUGCCAGCAGCCGCGGUAAUACGGAGGAUGCGAGCGUUAUACGGAUUUAUUGGGUUUAAGGGGUGCGUAGGCGGAAUGCCAAGUCAGCGGUAAAAUCGCGGGGCUCAACCUUGAUCCGCCGUUGAAACUGGCGGUCUUGAGUGGGCGAGAAGAAUGCGGAAUGCGUGGUGUAGCGGUGAAAUGCAUAGAUAUCACGCAGAACUACGAUGGCGAAGGCAGCAUACCGGCGCCCAACUGACGCGGAGGCACGAAAGCGUGGGUAUCGAACAGGAUUAGAUACCCGGGUAGUC
rnacentral:rRNA from 1 species